AACGCACAUUGCGCCCUUUGGUAUUCCGAGGGGCACGCCUGUUCGAGCGUCAUUUAAACCAUCAAGCCCUGCUUGGUCUUGGACGCGGUCGAGUGACCCGUCCGUAACCCGUUGGCGGUGCAGUCCGGCUUCAAGCGUAGUAAGAAUUUCGCUUCAGGAGCCCGCGGCGGCGUCUGCCAGGAAACACCACCCAAAGUUUGACCUCGGAUCAGGUGAGGAUACCCGCUGAACUUAA
rnacentral:misc_RNA from 1 species